rnacentral:rRNA from 1 species
GAGUUUGAUUCCUGGCUCAGGAUGAACGCUGACAGAAUGCUUAACACAUGCAAGUCAACCUGAACUUCGGUUUGGGUGGCGGACGGGUGAGUAACGCGUAAAGAACUUACCUCACAGUUAGGGACAACAUUUGGAAACGAAUGCUAAUACCUAAUAUUAUGAUAAUAGGGCAUCCUAUAAUUAUGAAAGCUAUAAGCGCUGUGAGAGAGCUUUGCGUCCCAUUAGCUAGUUGGAGAGGUAACGGCUCACCAAGGCGAUGAUGGGUAGCCGGCCUGAGAGGGUGAUCGGCCACAAGGGGACUGAGACACGGCCCUUACUCCUACGGGAGGCAGCAGUGGGGAAUAUUGGACAAUGGACCAAGAGUCUGAUCCAGCAAUUCUGUGUGCACGAUGAAGUUUUUCGGAAUGUAAAGUGCUUUCAGUUGGGAAGAAAGAAAUGACGGUACCAACAGAAGAAGUGACGGCUAAAUACGUGCCAGCAGCCGCGGUAAUACGUAUGUCACGAGCGUUAUCCGGAUUUAUUGGGCGUAAAGCGCGUCUAGGUGGUUAUGUAAGUCUGAUGUGAAAAUGCAGGGCUCAACUCUGUAUUGCGUUGGAAACUGUAUAACUAGAGUACUGGAGAGGUAAGCGGAACUACAAGUGUAGAGGUGAAAUUCGUAGAUAUUUGUAGGAAUGCCGAUGGGGAAGCCAGCUUACUGGACAGAUACUGACGCUGAAGCGCGAAAGCGUGGGUAGCAAACAGGAUUAGAUACCCUGGUAGUCCACGCCGUAAACGAUGAUUACUAGGUGUUGGGGGUCGAACCUCAGCGCCCAAGCAAACGCGAUAAGUAAUCCGCCUGGGGAGUACGUACGCAAGUAUGAAAACUCAAAAGGAAUUGACGGGGACCCCGCACAAGCGGUGGAGCAUGUGGUUUAAUUCGACGCAAACGCGAGGAACCUUACCAGCGUUUGACAUCUUAGGAGUGAGAUAGAGAUAUUUCAGUGUCCCUUCGGGGAAAACCUAAAGACAGGUGGUGCAUGGCUGUCGUCAGCUCGUGUCGUGAGAUGUUGGGUUAAAGUCCCGCAAACGAGCGCAAACCCCUUUCGUAUGUUACCAUCAUUAAAGUUGGGGACUCAUGCGAUACUGCCUACGAUGAGUAGGAGGAAAGGUGGGGAUGAACGUCGAAGUCGAUCGUGCCCCCUUAUACGCUGGGCUACGACGACGUGCUACGAAUGGGUAGAAACGAGAGUAG